AGAAAUAUGUCUGAUAAAAGAGUUACUUUGAUAGAGUAAAAAAUAGAGGUUCAAACCCUCUUAUUUUUA
rnacentral:tRNA from 1 species